AAAAAGAGCAGGCAGACGGGCUGCGCUCGAUCCCAUCCCUCCCACUCGACCCCUCCUCUAUUCUGUCGCUCCGCCUAGGGUUCCUCCUAACCGCCGCCGCCGCCGGUCCUCAGGUCCCCCGCUCCUCGACAAGGCCAUCUCCGCGACAUGGCCAACAGGUAGGCCUACAUCUUCCACCCCAGCUCCCACGGGCGCGGCCCCUCCCUCGGGCGCAUCCCCUCCGUCCCCGGUGUCCAGCAACAGCUCCUGGCCCGGUCCGGCCAGGGCUCCACUCCGGUGGACGGCGACCCCUUUCCCCCUCCCCUCCUCCUGGCCGUGAGCCACCAAGAAAUAAUUUUGACAUGGAUGUAUUGAUUGUACCAAAUAGUAGUACAAUUGUUGCCCUCUGGUUGCAUAGAAGAAAUAUUGACAUGAUGAAAGCACAAUGGGAUAAUGUGGAGAGCCUUUCUCACCACCAUGCACCCAUUGAUGAUGGUACUAUGGGUUCCAUCCGUGAUGCUAUUGCUACAAGUGUUUUCCCUUGAUGGUUAGCUCUAGGGUGUAUGCUUUUAUUGGGAGAACCAUGUAAUAAUUUACAGAUCUUUUUUAUUCAGUACUUCUUCUCAAGUACUUGUACUACGUGAGACAGCGAUGCAUGUAUGAUAUUCGUAUGCAAGACAAUGAUCUUCCUCAUGUUUGAUUAUAACA